CAGGUGUCAAAUACGUUCUCAAGAAAUGUAAGCUGUAUGAACAACAGCAACAAAACAUAAAGGUUGACUAAUCUCUCUCAAAUCGUGUUACUGAAUCCACAGCUUCAAAAGCCUACUGGUAAGAUCUUCCUGGAGGCCAAGGAGCCAGAGGAAUGCGCUCUUCGACCUGCUUCUCGUCCUUCCUGGGACCAUCAGGGGACUUCCUGGCCUUUCAAGACAGGUUCUGCUCAGAGAGGCCAGCGGUGCGGGGACGCCCUGGGCAAAAGUUAGCCGCCAGGGCAGCUGGGCUCUUCUGGGCUCGGAGGAGGCGGUCCCAGCGCUCUGGGCCGUCCCCUCCCCACCUGCGCCCCUACGAGGGACCCGUGCAAAGGCCCGCCAAGAGGGCGGUCACCGAAGGACUUGGCGGCUCCAGAGCAGCGAGAGCCAAGCGUCGCUCCGGGUUAGCCUGCAGACCGCGCCCGAGCCCCGGUGACAGGCGGGGGACAGCCCCGCACCCGCCACCCAGCCGAGCCAGGAGGAGCAGUCGCCUGCUCGCAGCGCCUCGCGACUGGGAACGGAAGAGGCCGACUGAGAAGGUCCUUGAGCUUACUGAAGAGAGUAGUCUUAGGGGAAGUAGUUCCAUCCGUGGGAAUGCGGUCUCCUCCCCGACAACUGCGAGUGCCUGGGAUUCAUUUGUGAUGUGGCAAAUCUAGGAAAGUUCCCGCAUGUUUUCCGGAGUGGCAUAGACCUCCGCCUAACUGGGAGGAGAAUUUCCUAGCAUUGGGUUAAUGCUACACGAGGGGCCAUGGCAGCCUCCCGGGCAGCCUCACGGUCUCCUCGGGACAUUGCCAACGUGAUGCAAAGACUGCAAGGUAAGAGCAGAAAUUUUAGUGUGGUUUUAAAAAAAAUAUAUGUACCUUAAAUUCAAAUACUAACUUCCACUAAAAUUCUAUCAAAGCUGCUUGGAUUUUAUUCAAUUUUAUGGAAUUAUAACAAAGAAUUGAAUGGAUAUCUUUUAUUCUAAUGUUUUCAAAUGAGUAUAUAGGUGUUGUCUCAAGAUGCUGUCCUCUUUAUGUAGAGGAAAGACUAAGAUAUAGCCCUUUUUAUGCUGUUUAUGUCUGCAUUAAUGUGAUCUUAAGGUUCUUUCAGGGUCCAGAUAGGAAACCAGAGCCAUUGCCAAGUGUACUGAUGCUGACCAUCAAGAAUAUCAGUGACAAUAAUGGCAAUGAAAAGAAGCUCUGAGAGAGGAAAUGACAUGAUGAUGUUAGUGGUUAGUGCAUCCCUUGCUGAAGCUAUUUCUCUUAAAAAUGAACCAUCUUGUAGAAGAGAAUCAACAGUGAAGUGUAAUAGCAGCUCAUAGGUGAACUCCCUAUUGUGUUUUCUUUGAACAUGUAUAGUCCUUGAACCAUAAAAAUUAUUAUCACCUGUAGUUAUAUUACAGUGUGGCUUCUUUGUCAUAAUUCCAAUUGGCCCUCCCCCAUGCUUUAAAUAUAUAGCUCUAGGAUACAAAAAUUUCCAGAUUUAGAAGGGCUUUGCUCUCAUGUCUGUCAAGAAAGCUUAAAAUAAUCUUAUAGUUUGUCUUUAAGUUUCCUACCAUCUCCAACAAGUUAUCAUUGUGGUUUUGG
rnacentral:lncRNA from 1 species